GUGGUUUCUCAGUCCUGGAUUUUCUUUGGGGAGGAGGGAGGAUGGCCGUUCUGUCUACAUCACACUCUUUCAAAGAUCGUUUAAAAAGGAAUCGGCUCCGAAGAUGCUGAGAAUUCUGAAGAAAAUGCUGCAUGACGUCACCCUACAGCUGAAGUGCCCGGCUGUUGGCGACGUUGGGAGCUGCAGGCAGCGCCGCCUGCCUUGGUGGACAGACAACUGCCAUCAGCGAAAGGUGACGGAGAAAACGAGCGAUCAGGUUUCAGCUGACACGUGAUCCCAGUCGGCAUUCGUGCUUUUAAAUUAGCGAAGAGCGAUGAGGAGCCGGAGGAUAAUGAUGAUUAUUAUUGACAUCACACUGACCUACGUAGUGCAGAAAUGGGAACUAUCGGCGGACAAUGAUAUAAACCAGACUCAAGUGCUCCACAUGACAAAAAUGUUUGCCGAGGUAGGGAAGGUGGGAUUGCGGGGACGAGUGCAAGAAAAGAAAAGAUAAAGCUAACUGAGGAAGACGGGUAGUAAUAGAGAAGCUGCUUGUAAAACCUGUGGACGGUAAGACAUCGCCGCACGGCGCAGCUGAGCUCUAAUGAGCUGAAGCCACGGAGACAACCAGGGACCCAGCAACCAGGGGGGAUCAUAUCCUCCCACUGACUGCUAGCACUCGACACCCACCUCUCUCAUUUCCUCCAGCCCAUUGUCAGUACGUGCGUGCGUGUGUGUGUGCGUUUUGAGAUUCCUUCCCUUGAGGAAAUAAUUUUAUUCCUUGUUAUUUAAUAUUCAGAACAUAUAACUAUGGGAAACCGUGUAAGUAAACCAAAAAUAAACAACAGUUUUGUUUGUUUUGAUUGUUGUUGUUGUUUAUUUAUUUUUUAUUUUAUUAUUUUUUUUUAUUUAUUUAUUACCUUACCCGCUGAGUAAAUUUGGGUUCUUCGAGUCGGCAGGACUGUAUAUGUUAAGUCAGAGGAACAAAUAAAGAUAAAGAACUGGUCUGAUAGAUGAAAGAAACAAGGAAUUUGUGAGAGGAUAGGUGGAGAGAAAGAGAGAACGGGAGAGACUCCUCACCUUGGAGUGGCAUGAAACCUUUUAGCAUCUUUCCAUCGCUGAUGUGAAGGUGACGCCAGCAGUGGGCGAGGUGAGUAUGCGUCACUGUCUCCAGAGGCCUUGCGUCACAGUGCCUGCCUUCCGGUGGAGGAGCAAAUGGAGGUUGCCAUCGCACAACGGACGCUGAUGCUUAUGUGUGACUCCCUUUACAUUCUUUCACAGCAACUCCCUUUAAUUUCAUUAUAUAUUUUUUAAAAACUUUUUGUUACUGUUGAUUGAGUGUCCCGAAAAAUGUUGUAGUAUGACCUGGUAACGUAUGUUAUGUCACUGAAAUUGUGACUUGAUUAAUUGUGUUUUGAGUGUCACAUGAAUCUGUUUUUAAUUGUUUAAACUCUGACCUGACUGUUUUAUGUAUAUUAGUCGAUUUUCAUUGUAACUUGACUAUUCAGUGUUUUAUUUUCUUUGUCUUUUUUCAACAUGUCAUUUUCUUUGCGAUACCUACUGUCUACGUCACGAGGGAUAACUGCCACGAUUCCUAACGCAUUUUGAUGACGUCACAAACGAUACUACAGCUUUCUCUCCGCUUUCUUUGACUAACUCAUCUCUGUCUCCACACCGAACUGGCUGAUGUAACCUAGACUGUAUGUCUACUCUGUUCCAACACCCUCUGACCUUUUCACUCGAUUUUCUUUGUUUUAGUUUUUUUUUUUAAACAUUAACCGUUGGCCAUGAGUUGCACGUCACCGCGUGUGCGGUCUAACCUUGAUGCAGCUCUCUUUACACUUUACAGUCAACCAUUUGCAUGUGCCAGGUGGAAUGAGCGAGACGGAGGGAUAGAGAGAGAGAAGGAGGGAGAAACACGAGUGCAGCUCCCCCAUCGAGGCUCGCUACCCGGGCGACAAGGUCCAGUGGUGAGCGCCCCUUGCCGGUGGCAGUCAAUGGAGCGUAAAACUGGGCGCCGAGGCGGUGUGGAUCCUGCUCCUCCUGCGACCAGGGGGAAGCCUCAUCGGCGAUGACGUUAAUGGAGAGGAGACGCCGUUUGUCGUGGAUCCUGGUGUGAGUGUCAACGGCCGAGCUGCAAAUCAUCCGCCACGUCACAGACGCACGUUGCAGACGACCGAAGGCUGACUGACAACUCGUUCAUGAAGUCGAUAAUGGAGCCUCGUUCUGGCUGUUCCAGCUGCGAUUUAUAAAUAGCUUGUUUUCACAGACUUUUGGCUAAUGGCAGACUCUUCUGUGCUCACAAUUUCUUUAAAAUGUUCCCAGAGAGAAUAUUCAUUCUGACAUAAGCUUCAUUUCCUGUAAUAUUCCUGAAGCAAAGAAGAUAUAAAGAGUUAGUAGGUAGUUUUAAUGGUGUCGGUCUAAACUGUGACUAUAGACAACCCUCGUGUUCAAAGCUUUAAAAAAAAAAAUAGAAAGAUACACAAAAGUAAAGAUGAACAAUAUAUAUGCUGCCUUUAGUUCCCUGUCAUAAAAUUCUAGCACGUGUCUGUUUAUUUAGUUUAUAUCACUAAGCACCUACCCACCUCCCGAACCACUGAUGUCAAGUGCUGACAGAUUCAUCCUCACUUCCUAGUCUGAUCGAGGACUAAAAAUAAAUAAAUAAAUCACUUAAAGCAUGCCAUACUGAAAUCUUCCAAAACCAACAAAUGAAGCAUACUGUACAUUUUAACUGUGCAACUAUUUUUGGUAUCAUCUUUAGAUUUGUGACCCCAUCCACGUUUAUGGUCACGUUUGCACACAUCGAUUAAUUUGAAAUAUUGUAUUAAUUAAAUCUGUAAAUAAAAUAUUUCUCACCUUUUCCCAUCAUAUGAAAAUCUGAAAAAUACAGCGUUUUUGUGGCUGGCAUUUGAGCAGUUAAUUGCAUUGCAAAGUGGCCCACAGGCUUUGUCUUAGCCUUCAGUAUAAUCGAGAACAGCAUGGAGGAGCAAAGGGACUGAACUGUGAUUACGUUCUUAUGGAAUUCCCCAUAUAUAAAACUUUGGAUGUUCCAAAAAGUGUAGGGGGAAACAACUGUAAUGCAAAUUGCGUAGACGUAAGCCGACACGUGUAUGCAUGCGUGUGUGUGUAUAAAGAGAAAGGAGAGUAAGAGGGAGCCACAGUUGCCCUGUGAUCACUUUAACCGGUCACAGGUAAGAUUUCCAUAUUUACUUAUCAUCUCCCGUCUGGCGGCUAACUUUAAAAUGACCUCUCCCGACCCGUGCUUGUUAUCAACCUGUCAUGACUGACUUCCAGAAUCCGCUGAUGACCCUAGCGUGUCAUUAACUUGUCACGCCUUGUGUCCUCGUAAUGACACCACAGUCAUGUGACAAGCUCUUCGUAUCUCAGGUAAGGCAUCUGAUGUGAACAUGCGACAGUCCUGCUG